rnacentral:tRNA from 1 species
UCCCUGGUGGUCCAGUGGUUAAGACUUUGCAUUUCUACUGCAGGGGGCAUGGGUUCAAUCCCUAGUCAGGGGG